CAUUAUCGAAUAAAACUUGAACAGGCUGUUGCUGGCUCCCUCGGAUGCAUGUGCACGCUUGUCAUUUUUAUCUCAUUUCUCCUCUGUGCACCAACUGUAGGCCUGGAGUUUGGUCUUGAAAUCCUUUCAGGUCUAUGUUUUUACAAUCUCUCAAUGUGUUUGGAAUGUCGAGUUGCAUAAUAUAUACAUACAACUUUCAGCAACGGAUCUCUUGGCUCUCGCAUCGAUGAAGAACGCAGCGAAAUGCGAUAAGUAAUGUGAAUUGCAGAAUUCAGUGAAUCAUCGAAUCUUUGAACGCAUCUUGCGCUCCUUGGUAUUCUGAGGAGCAUGCCUGUUUGAGUGUCAUCAAGUCCUCAACCAUAUUGAUUUUGCUUCGAUGUGGAUUGGAUAUGGGAGCCCAUGCAGGCCUUUCAAUUGAGAGGUCUGCUCUCCUGAAAUGAAUUAGUGGUGUACUGAGCAGUGACUUUUAAAAACAUGGGUGUGAUAAUCCAUUUAUGCCUUUGUGAAACGCUGAGCAAACUGCUUCUAACCUCGUCGUGACCAAU
rnacentral:rRNA from 1 species